rnacentral:rRNA from 1 species
UCCGCAGGUGGUUUGAUAAGUCUGACGUGAAAUACCGGAGCUCAACUCCGGAACUGCGUUGGAGACUGUUGAACUGGAGUAUCGGAGAGGAAAUUGGAAUUCCAGGUGUAGCGGUGGAAUGCGUAGAUAUCUGGAAGAACAUCGACAGCGAAGGCAGAUUUCUGGACGAUAACUGACACUCAGGGACGAAAGCAUGGGGAGCAAACA